rnacentral:misc_RNA from 1 species
GUGAAUCAUCGAAUUUUUGAACGCAAAUUGCACUCCCUGGUAUUCCGGGGAGCAUGCCUGUUUGAGGGUCGUUAGAAUAAAAAACGAAGUGUUGCUCUUUUUUUUUAGGGUGAUCGCGUCGGUAUGGAGCCGGCUUUCAAACGUUAAUUCAUGUCAAAGUGGCUUAAAAUUUAUCCAUCCGCUACGAUUAAAUCGUA